UUGCCGGUAGAUACGGAUAAGCGUGGGGUUCCUAGCAGCCAUCUUGCCAUCACGCUGGGAGAGACCCACCUGAGACGAGAGCUCAGAGCAAAGCCCAGGUAGGAGAUGCAGAGUGACGGGUCUUUUAGGACGUCCAAGAGAGAGGAAAUGGAAGUUGCUAGUCUCUUAAGGCCUGGACUUGGAAACUGACACCAGCGUCAUUUUCACGAUAGCCCAUCAGUCAAAACAGCCACCUAGCUUCUACGUUCCCUUCUCUUGAAGCCCAGCUUCACCUCACAAACGAAGCCUCAGAACACGAUUUCCGGCUGCUGUUGUUCCCAGAUGGUCGGAAUGAUUCCAAGCGAUUGUGCAAAGUGUGGACUCUCCCUCCUUCUCCCACAGUACAGCAGUAAUAAAUGUGUCUGUUGUGUUGAAAAUGGAGUUUUUGGUGACAGUGAUGGUAAGAGUAACAAAAGCGAUAAUACUAUCCACUCCUACAGAGUGUUUAUUAGCUCCAGGCAAGGACCUAAAGGCUUUAGAUAUAUUAUCUCUUUUCAUCUUCACAACAGUCCAAUGAGGUAGGUAUUAUUCAUUUACUAAUUCACCAAAUGCUUAUUGAGAACGAGAUGGCUUCCUUCUGAUAUCACUUGAGCACCUGAAUUCAGCAAAGCUUAAAAGCUAAGACUAUCCCUGAACGUGUCAGUCCCAAGAUCCAAUACAUUCUAUUUUUAACUUAA